UUGAAGCAAAUGCAGGGUUUCUUGUAAGAUGAGGGUGAAUGCAUCAGACAAACAAAUUUGACAUAUUAGUGCCUUGCAGCCUCUCAAAGUUCUUGCAUUCAGGUUAUUCUUUUAGAAAGAAAAUUGUCAAAGGUGAUUGUCAAAGGAGAAUUUAUUCAAGGGUUUCUUUUAAUGUUGUACAUGUUUUGUUUUCAAUAAUAAAUAUUAUGCAAUAUUAGCAAUGUGUUACAUUUACUUACUAUUGGAAUGAUUAUUUGUAUAUGACAUUAAAUUUUAUGAAAUGGAUUAUAUUUUUUGUA